rnacentral:rRNA from 1 species
ACUCCUACGGGAGGCAGCAGUGGGAAUAUUGCACAAUGGGCGCAAGCCUGAUGCAGCCAUGCCGCGUGUGUGAAGAAGGCCUUCGGGUUGUAAAGCACUUUCAGUGGGAGGAAAGGUUGUUGGUUAAUACCUAACAGCUGUGACGUUACCCACAGAAGAAGCACCGGCUAACUCCGUGCCAGCAGCCGCGGUAAUACGGAGGGUGCAAGCGUUAAUCGGAAUUACUGGGCGUAAAGCGUGCGCAGGCGGUCUGUUAAGCGAGAUGUGAAAGCCCCGGCUGC